CAGCAUGGUGGCAGGGUGGUUAGCACUGUUGCUAAAGGUCCUGAGUUCAAUUCCACCAUCAGGCCGGGGUCUUUCUGUGUGGAGUUUGCAUGUUCAUGUACUCCGACUUCCUACCACAAUACAAACACAUGCAGUUAGUGGGGAUAGCUUAAUUGAUCAAUCUAAAUUGCCCAUAGGUGCGAAUGGUUGUCUCUGUGUGUUAGCCCUGUGACAGACUGGCGACUGGUCCAGGGAGUACCAUGCCUCUCGCCCUAUGACAGCUGGGGUACGCUCCAGCGCCCCCCAUGACCCUUACAAGGAUAAGUGGAUUUGCAGCAUGCAACUUCUGAUUUGGUGGAACUGGUGUAAAGGUGGUGAUGUUACCGUGAUUCUAUUGGCUUAAGUGACCUCUAAUUGUCGUGCAUGAAAAAAAUAAUAAUCUGCACUUUUUUGAAAACACAACUAAUAUUAACAAGUUAACAAGCUUAAGUGAUACAGCAUCAUAAUAACUCCUUUAGUGCAUAAGCAAAGGAAAAAUCUGAUGAUAAUGGAAAAGGGACAACAGCUCUGAACAUGUCCGGUCUAAUAAAACAGUUGUCACAGUCUGGCUGAGGCCGACUGUAUGAAUGUGAGGAGAGGAUCUGAAAUGCAGACACAAAAGGAACGUGGAACCAAAACUUCGUAUUAACAAAAAGCGAGCUGUUAAAUGAGGCUGGUUAAAAAAAAAAAAGGUACAAACAAAGGGCAAGGCAAACUGAAGCAAAACUAACAUUAACCUAAAGUGGGUGAACUAAACAAACAACAUGAAAAACCCUGACAUGAAACUUAGAAACAUGACGUGGAGAACAUGCCGAGAACAACAGAUAACCUGACAAGGACCGAACAGAAACACACAGGGGUGAUUAGGGGAAAUGGAAACACAUGACACUAAUCUGAAAUAACAAGCAAAGCCGACUACACUGACAUAGGACACAGAUCUUCAAAAUAAAACAGGAAACAUGAGAGGCAGACAUGACAAUACAACUUCACAACAAGAACAAGAAACGUGAUCUUCACCAACCUCACAAGGCCUGGUUGAACAGUUGCUGUCUUAUCAUACAUGAAGUGAGCAGUGUUCAUACAACCCGUAAUGUUACUUUGAGUUAAGGAGGUAAAAAUAUAAAGUCCAUCUCAGUCCAUGCGUCCAAGUGCAAGCACAAUUCCCCCGCACUCUACAGAGGGCAGUGGCACAUACUUGUGACAUCACAAACAUUAACUUAGGCUGUCUUAACCAGUUAAAGGUCAAGAGUCAUGCAAC
ensembl:lncRNA